rnacentral:tRNA from 1 species
GCCCGGCUGGCUCAGUCAGUAGAGCAUGUGACUCGCCAUCUGAGGGUUGUGAGUUCAAACCCCACGUUGGGCA